rnacentral:lncRNA from 1 species
GCCUGCUCAGCUCACUCCGAAAGCCUCUGCUCAGACCUGCACCCAGUCACAGCAGCACAGAUGUGCAGGAGGAGACCAUUUCCACGGACCCUCCGACUCCUAGGAGGCAACAGGGCCUCCCCUGGAUGGGAUCUUCCUCUGAGGCGAGCUUCAGAUCUGCUCAAGCUUCCUGCAGUGGGGCCAGGAGGCAGGGCCUGGGCAGGGGAGACCAGAACCUCUCGGUGAUGC